GAUGAACGCUGGCGGCGUGCCUAAUACAUGCAAGUCGAACGCUGAAGGAGGAGCUUGCUCUUCUGGAUGAGUUGCGAACGGGUGAGUAACGCGUAGGUAACCUGCCUGGUAGCGGGGGAUAACUAUUGGAAACGAUAGCUAAUACCGCAUGACAACAGUUAAUGCAUGAUAACUGUUUAAAAGGGGCAACUGCUCCACUACCAGAUGGACCUGCGUUGUAUUAGCUAGUUGGUGAGGUAACGGCUCACCAAGGCGACGAUACAUAGCCGACCUGGGAGGGUGAUCGGCCACACUGGGACUGGGACACGGCCCAGACUCCUACGGGAGGCAGCAGUAGGGAAUCUUCGGCAAUGGACGGAAGUCUGACCGAGCAACGCCGCGUGAGUGAAGAAGGUUUUCGGAUCGUAAAGCUCUGUUGUAAGAGAAGAACGAGUGUGAGAGUGGAAAGUUCACACUGUGACGGUAUCUUACCAGAAAGAGACGGCUAACUACGUG
rnacentral:rRNA from 1 species